rnacentral:pre_miRNA from 1 species
UCUCUAUUCCCCAUACUCUCUCAUCCAUCAGAGAGACGAGAUAGUGUGUGGAAUGGAGAGA